rnacentral:rRNA from 1 species
GAUGAACGCUGGCGGCGUGCCUAAUACAUGCAAGUCGAGCGAACAGACGAGGAGCUUGCUCCUCUGACGUUAGCGGCGGACGGGUGAGUAACACGUGGAUAACCUACCUAUAAGACUGGGAUAACUUCGGGAAACCGGAGCUAAUACCGGAUAAUAUAUUGAACCGCAUGGUUCAAUAGUGAAAGACGGUUUUGCUGUCACUUAUAGAUGGAUCCGCGCCGCAUUAGCUAGUUGGUAAGGUAACGGCUUACCAAGGCAACGAUGCGUAGCCGACCUGAGAGGGUGAUCGGCUACACUGGCACUGAGACAGAGUCCAGACUCCUACGGGAGGAAGCAGUAGAGAAUCUUCCGCAAGGGGCGAAAGCGUGACGGAGCAACGCGGGGUGAGUGAUGAAGGUCUUCGGAUGGUAAAGCUCUGUUAUUAGUGAAGAACUAAAGUGUAAGUAACUAUGAACGUCUUGACGGUACCGAGUCAGAAAGCCACGGCUAACUACGUG